ACCAUUAUAUACACACACAUCUCUUUCUCUAUCUCUAAGCGAUUAUUGAUAACUCUAGGAAGAGGCCUCGUCUCUCGAAAGAUCAAUCGGCUAUGCUUGAAGAGAGCUUCAAAGAACACAACACUCUCAAUCCUCUCCAUCUGCACCGACGAUUUUGAAGAUGCAGAGUGAUUUCGAAGCGAUUUCGAAGAUUCAGAUCGAUUUCGAGAUUCAGAGCGAUUUCAAAGCUCCAUCGCCACCACCAUCUGCACCGGCGAGAGAUUCAUAGAUGCAGUGAUUCAGAGAUUCAGUGAUUUCAGAGCGAUUUUGUUUUCGAAGCUCCACCCCCACCACCAUCUGCACCGGUGAUUUUGAUUUCACUAAGGUCUUGUGUAUUGUAUGGAUUACUUGGAGAAAAACAUUGACUGGUUGGAGUCCAAAGUAAAGCCUCUUCUCAAAGGUUAGUAUUCAAGGCCUACAUUGGCAUGGACUUGUAACUUUUUGUUUUUUGGAAG